rnacentral:rRNA from 1 species
UGGGGAAUUUUGGAUAAUGGGGGAAACCCUGAUCCAGCCAUCCCGCGUGUGCGAUGAAGGCCUUCGGGUUGUAAAGCACUUUUGGCAGGAAAGAAACGUCAUGGGUUAAUACCCCGUGAAACUGACGGUACCUGCAGAAUAAGCACCGGCUAACUACGUGCCAGCAGCCGCGGUAAUACGUAGGGUGCAAGCGUUAAUCGGAAUUACUGGGCGUAAAGCGUGCGCAGGCGGUUCGGAAAGAAAGAUGUGAAAUCCCAGAGCUCAACUUUGGAACUGCAUUUUUAACUACCGGGCUAGAGUGUGUCAGAGGGAGGUGGAAUUCCGCGUGUAGCAGUGACAUGCGUAGAUAUGCGGAGGAACACCGAUGGCGAAGGCAGCCUCCUGGGAUAACACUGACGCUCAUGCACGAAAGCGUGGGGAGCAAACAGG